GAUGAAGAACGUAGUGAAAUGCGAUACUUGGCGUGAAUUGCAGAAUCCCGUGAACCAUCGAGUCUUUGAACGCAAGUUGCGCCCGAAGCCAUUAGGCCGAGGGCACGCCUGCCUGGGCGUCACACGUCGUUGCCCCCCCAUCUACUCCUUCGGGAUUGCGGGGGGCGGAUGAUGGCCUCCCGUGCGCCUCGUCGCGCGGUUGGCAUAAAUGCCAAGUCCUCGGCGACGCACGCCACGACAAUCGGUGGUUGCGAAACCUCGGUUGCCCGUCGUGUGCGGUCGUCGCGCAUCGAGGGCUCGAAAAAAUUGUCGGGCUCCGGCUCGGCUUUCAACGCGACCCCAGGUCAGGCGGGGUUACCCGCUGAAUUUAAGCAUAUCAAUAAGCGGAGGA
rnacentral:misc_RNA from 1 species